rnacentral:rRNA from 1 species
CCUACGGGAGGCAGCAGUGAGGAAUAUUGCACAAUGGGGGAAACCCUGAUGCAGCGACGCCGCGUGAGGGAAGAAGUAUUUCUUUAUGUAAAACUCUAUCAGCAGGGAAGAAAAUGACGGUACCUGAGUAAGAAGCCCCGGUUAACUACGUGCCGGCAGCCGCGGUAAUACGUAGGCGGCAAGCGUUAUCCGGAUUUAAUGGGCGUAAUGGGGGCGUAGACGGCAGUGCAAGUCUGGAGUGAAAGGCGGGGGCUCAACCCUCGGACUGCUCUGGAAACUGUACGGCUGGAGUGCAGGAGAGGUAAGUGGAAUUCGUGGUGUAGCGGUGAAAUGCGUAGAUAUUAGGAGGAACACCAGUGGCGAAGGCAGCGUACUGGACUGUAACUGACGUUGAGGCUCGAAAGCGUGGGGAGCAAACAGGAUUAGAUACCCUUGUAGUC